rnacentral:tRNA from 1 species
GCUGGACUGGUGAAAUUGGUAGACACGUUGGAUUCAAAAUCCAAUGCCGGCAACGGCGUCCCAGUUCAAGUCUGGGGUCCAGUACCA